rnacentral:rRNA from 1 species
UACGUAGGCAGCAAGCGUUGUUCGGAGUUACUGGGCGUAAAGGGUGUGUAGGCGGUUCUUUAAGUUUGGUGUGAAAUCUCCCGGCUCAACUGGGAGGGUGCGCCGAAUACUGAGGGACUAGAGUACGGGAGAGGAAAGUGGAAUUCCUGGUGUAGCGGUGAAAUGCGUAGAUAUCAGGAGGAACACCGGUGGUGUAGACGGCUUUCUGGACCGUAACUGACGCUGGAGACACGGAAAGCGUGGGUAGCAAACAGG